AAGUCGUAACAAGGUUUCCGUAGGUGAACAUUCUUGCCAGGUUCGCCAAACCAGUCUACUUUGUAGGCAACAUCUUCACUGUGCUGGGAUUUACUUUAGUAAUACCAGCAGCCUAAACAGGCUCACAGGUCAAAUGGAGGUGGCCCUGAAAGGGGUUAAGAUAUGAUCGAGAGGUUGCUAGAAAUAGCAGCAUACACUCGCUGCGGAAGGAUCAUUACAGAGAACAUGCCCUUCAGGGUAGAUCUCCCACCCUAUGUUUACUAUACUUUGUUGCUUUGGCAAGCCCGUCUUCGGACCACUGGCUUCGGCUGGUCAGCGCUCGCCAGAGGACCCUAAACUCUUUAAUUUAGUGUUGUCUGAGUACUAUAUAAUAGUUAAAACUUUCAACAACGGAUCUCUUGGUUCUGGCAUCGAUGAAGAACGCAGCGAAAUGCGAUAAGUAAUGUGAAUUGCAGAAUUCAGUGAAUCAUCGAAUCUUUGAACGCACAUUGCACCCUCUGGUAUUCCGGGGGGUAUGCCUGUUCGAGCGUCAUUACAACCCUCAAGCUCUGCUUGGUAUUGGAUGCAUCGCUAUGAUUCAUCCCAAAAUCAGUGGCGGUGCCAUUCGGCUUCCAGCGUAGUAAAUUUCUCGCUGUGGAGGUCCGGGUGCGUAGUGGCCAACAAUCACUAAAUUUCUAAGGUUGACCUCGGAUCAGGUAGGGAUACCCGCUGAACUUAAGCAUAUCAAUAAGCGGAGGAAAAGAAACCAACAGGGAUUGCCUCAGUAACGGCGAGUGAAGCGGCAACAGCUCAAAUUUGAAAUCUGGCCUUCUGGUCCGAGUUGUAAUUCGUAGAGGAUGCUUCGAACGUGGUCCGGUCUAAGUUCCUUGGAACAGGACGUCAUAGAGGGUGAGAAUCCCGUAUGUGACUGGGUGCCUAAGUUCAUGUGAAGCUCCUUCGACGAGUCGAGUUGUUUGGGAAUGCAGCUCAAAAUGGGUGGUAUAUUUCAUCUAAAGCUAAAUAUUGGCCAGAGACCGAUAGCGCACAAGUAGAGUGAUCGAAAGAUGAAAAGCACUUUGGAAAGAGAGUUAAACAGUACGUGAAAUUGUUGAAAGGGAAGCGCUUGCAACCAGACUUGCAUGCAGUUGAUCAUCCGGUGUUCUCACCGGUGCACUCGGCUGUGUUCAGGCCAGCAUCGGUUUUGGUGGUUGGAUAAAGGCCCUGGGAAUGUAGCUUCUCUCGGGGAGUGUUAUAGCCCAAGGUGCAAUGCAGCCCACCAGGACCGAGGACCGCGCUUCGGCUAGGAUGCUGGCGUAAUGGUUGUAAGCGACC
rnacentral:rRNA from 1 species